rnacentral:lncRNA from 1 species
CGGACCGAAGACCGUCUCCGUGGCGACCCAUGGUUGAAAUGAUAUUUGUUCUUGACACACAGAUCAGACCUGCUCAUGGUGGAAAAAAAUAAUUUUAGAAAAUGUAGAUAAGCAAAACAAAACAAAAAAAAACCACCAAAAUGUCUUAGAAUUCCUCCACUCAGAGAUUACCACUUGGCCUCUCUUCUUAGACUCUCGAUUUUAUUUUUAUUCUAACUUAUAGGAAGCCAUGCUAUGUCCACUAUUUAUGAUUUGCUUUUUCCAACCAAUAUAUUGUGUUUUUUCCCAGUCAAUAAAUAUCUACUUAUAAUGUAAUUUUAAAAACAGUGUGGAAAGCUUUAUAAGAUUAUACCAGUAUUUAUUGAGCAGGUCCCCUACAGGGGGUUUGGCUAAUUAGUUUGUUUCCUUUUUUCUUGGCUUUUUGACCUUUCUAAAUAAUGCCGUGAUGAACAAUCUCAACCUAAAUUCUUUGCCCAAGUCCUUAAUUGUUUUCCUGAGGAUGAAUUCCUAGAAUGCUGGGUCAAAGGUAUGCAUUUUUAAUACCUUGCAAGGCUUAUUCAAUUGUGGCUUAGUAUAUUAUUCAUUUCCUGUCAACUCUCAGCUAUUCAGGGGUGGGGGCAGGUGACAGGGAGCAGCCAAGACAAUGGAAACAGUACUGACGUUCCCAAAGAACUUAUGUCUGAAAAUGGUCCAACCUGGAAAUUAGCAAUGCCACAGCCCGAGUCAGGUGGCCAAGGGGGGACAGAGAGGCAAGAUGUCUGAUUCUCCCAGUCUGGGGCUCGGCUUCAAAUUCUUUCUUGCUGUUUACUUGAGCCACGAACCAAAGGACACCUUUCUCUCUGCAUCUUUGUGCUUCUCUCCAAGUCUCUGUCUCAAUCUUUGGAGUCUCUGACUGUAUCCCCUGGGUCUCUCUCUCUCUCUCUCUCCUCUCUCUUCUACUCCUUCCUUUCCCCCUCUCUUUUCCCCCCUGGGGGAGAAAUAACGAAAUCUUCUGGUCAGACAGUUCUCCAUUGGUAGAAAGCAAGUGUUCAGCACAGUAACUGCUGGGUUCUGAGAGGAGGGAUAAAUUUAGCUCACUUCUCUAUGCAUCUGUGUGCUUUCCAGAACCUUCUCCCACUUAAAAAUGCCUCCUUCCAAGCUGCAGGCUUCCGGGCUGUGGGAUGCAGGGACCCACAGUGACCACAGCAAGGUGUCAUUCAAAAGUAGCAUCCCUGGCCUGAUAUGUCCUGGUCAGGAAACUCAAGAUUGGCUGCUCACAGCCCCAGCCCACACUAGUCACGUCCAUUUCUGCUCAGAGGAGAUACUCCCUCUCUUCUCAAUGGCCGCCACUGUGCUUUGCCCAUAGAAACCUUCCCUCCAGGCUGGGAAUCCCCCAGGGGCCAUGCUGUCUGUGCCACCCAGUGUCCUGGGACAUUUUAUGGGUGCUCAGUGUGUGAACAGAGGAAAAACAACACCUAAGGGUGACAGAGAUGUUCCCAGGGAAGAGAUACUUGACUUAAUCACCCAAUAAAAGCUUGGAGCAAGGUCAUCCCUGAUAGAUGGAUAAGCAACAGAAUUAACUAAAUAGAUCCGUGUGACCGACUCACCAGGUUUUAUGAGUCUAUUGUGCCAAGAAACUUCAAUGGAAAAAUAAGGAAAGAAGAUGCGGGGCAGGGAGAUUUGCAAGGGCACUUGGGUUUCAACCACUCGGGAAGUUUCAUGCUUUUCUGUGACCACAUCUAUUUCUUGGAAAGAGCUCAGGCAGAUUUGGUUCCAAUCCCAGCUUCGCCACAUGCUAUCUGGGUUAAACAAUUUUAUUCAACCUCAAUUUUGCUUUCAGUAAAAUGGGGGAUAAGGAUCCCCACUUUACUGGGUGAUGAGGCAGACAGUUUUUAGUAAGUAUUCAAUAUUGAUUAGGCCAGUGAUUCCCCAAAUGGCCAUGGACCAGCCUGCUGGAUGUUUCUGACUCUGGACCGUCUAGUCCCAGUCCCAGAGGGGGUGCUUCGUCAGAGCAGCCCAGCCGCAUUGGCUGCACCUCCUGUUCUGUCAACCUGGGGGACUAGUGUACAGGCUUGCUAUGGGAAGCGAGGGCUAGAAAAAUCAAUGAAAGGAAAGAAAAAGGAUAGGAAUAAUCUGGUAUGUGUUUAUCUUCUUUAAAUGUGCAAUGCUUCUCUUCUCUACAAGGGCAAGAAUGGGCUCGGUCUGGUCACCCUCUUAUCCCCAGCAUUCCUGGGACAUAGAUAGUCACUUAAUAAACACAGAUGUAUGCACGAAUAGGGAAUAAAUAAAUGUCAGCAAUCGAAGGACCCUGAGGCCCGGAAAGAGAAGUAACUAUUCGAGAUGAGUUAGAAGGUAAAAACCGAGGGCUUCUCUUCCCCGCCUCCACACGGCCUGGCCUCCUGCUAAUUGAAAAAUCCUAGAAAGUCUGGCAUUUAGAGUCUGGCAAUUUAAGCUGCUGGGUAUCCCGUUCCCAGGGCCCGAAUUAGGUCUGCUGGGCGGGAUGGAUCUGCGGUGGAGGAUGGGGCUGCAGGGCCCCAGGUCUAGGUCUCGGCGGACUGGUAACCUAGCAACAGCCUCCAGCUCAUCCAAUCACCGCAAGGCACCACGCCACCGGCUCGCUUGCUCCCCCCACCCUCUGCAUACACCCCCACCCCCGAUAGCAGCGCCAGUGAUGCACGCAGGGGAGGUCCGGGCCCAGCAGCCCCACGGGAAGGUGCCUGUGAGCAUAGCAUUCCCAGGAAAGCCCUGGAAAUUCUCAGAAUCCCUGCAUGGAGAACCUGGGAGGCUGCGGUUCCUACCUGUUCCCAAAUUGCAGGCUGAAUUCUCGUCUGCAUUUUCCUGUGGGUAUAUCUUGACUACCCGUCUCCUCUAUAAUAAUAAUUAUUAUUAAUAUCCUCACAACAGUGGUUUUCCCAAGCAGGCUUUCACAUUUAUAAUCUGUUUAUCCUCACAGUGACAUCUAGCCCCUGAGGGGCAGUGACCUCAGUUUAUUCACAUUUUAUUUCUACCUGACACUGUAGAGGCAUGGAUUUAAAAACAGUUUGGCUUAAAGCUACAGUGUCACUACUGGAAGGUUCAUAGCACCCUCUGGGCAGCAAGUAGUCAGGGAGCCCUUUGUUCAAAGAGAUCUAAAAUGGAAACCCAAUAUAUAGAACACCUGGGCACAUGACUUCAGGGGUGAAGCUAACUGGGGUCCUACACCCUGUCCCAUCGCCCCCCUCGCCUCCUUUGGAAGUCCCUCAAAGGCCAAUAAUUUUAAGAAACAAGGUCAAAACUACUAAUCCAGACUAUUUCUCUCAUUUUACAGGUGGGAAAUCCAGCCCAGAAUGAAGGUUGAGUUCAAUAAAUAUUGGAUGGAUGGAUGGAUGGAGGAUGGAGAGACCCUAGAUUACACAGUCUAUGUUGGCAGAAGCAGAACUAGAAUUUAUGUGUGAAAACUAACAUUCUCCUGUUCUGUUCUGAAUGCACCAUAGGCUUUAGUCAAAAGUAAAACAGCUCUGACCUGUUUAGUACUUACAACAAAACGAAAUCAAAGCAAUACUUUUUGUGUGUCUGUGGAUAGCAACAAUCCUCCACACAGACCUGACUGAGGAAUUGAGCUUAAAAACUUGGAUUAUUCUCCUGUCAGGUUGCGGUGGGAACAGGAGCUCCUCUGGCAGGUUCACCUCCUGGGUUUCCAGCAACCUGUCUCCAGGCCUCUUCCCUACCUCAGGUUCCACCCUGUCCCAGGGAGCCUCCUCCUCAGAAUCCAGGCACAACCUCCCCACAUUCGUUGCACGGGGUCUUAAUGAUCACUCCAAAGCGAACCAGCCAGACAGGGAGUGUGUCUAGAAAGUUCUCUGGGAAUUCAUGAUAUUCUUAGGGCCACUGCCCCUCUUAUUUUCUCCUGGUUUUGGUUGGUGGGCCCAGAAGUCCAUCUGGGCCCAGAUUCUCCCCGGACUCCUGAGGGGACACUGGCACGAAGCAACAGCUGAGAACACGUCACCCGCCUACUCUUGGCAUUCCUUGGUCUCGUGUGUGCAAUCAGGGACCUGCAGGUGAACCUUUGCCAUGCAAGACAUCAACUCCCAGCACCUCCUCACCCGGGAGUCUCUCUAAUCAGGUGCCACUGCCAAGAUAGGCCCAGGCCUCCCUGCGGAACUAGGGUUCCGCCUCUCCCACAGAUAUGAGAAUUAGGGCUCAUUUUUUGCUGAUGGGAGUGAUUGACAGCCACAGCUGCCUGAAGCUUCUGUUGGGGGGAUCUGCUGCCCAUCUUUCAGCCCUCAUGAAACCAUGGGCCUUGGUCCUACCUCGGCUGCUCGCUGCUCUCAAGGGCUCCCCUUUUUGGUACCUCCUUGGUGCCUGCCACUGUGCCAGGCUCUGGGGCCUCAUCACCCCAUUGAAUCCUCAUGACACUCCUUUCAGGUAGUACUGCAGUUACCUCAUCUUCACAGAUGAGGAAACCGAGGCUCAGCUGAUCACCUGCCCAAGAUUAUGCAAUGGGAAAGCUGCAGAGCUGGCCUCCAUGUCCCGAGGGCCCCAGAGCCAACGCUGUUCCCAUGAUGGUGGGCUUCGGCCGCCAGGGACACUCCCUUCAUCCCCCAGAGCCUCCCGUUCCCACUGUGAGGUGACGGCCCCUGGGGAGCUGCUCUUCCAGGGUUUGGUAGGGUCACCUCCUUAGGCUACAGUGGUCCUGGAACCUCUCACUAGAGCACCAACCAGAACCCAAAUCCCAUCUCCUCACAGGGGCUCCUCAGGCUUAAGGCCCUUUCCCAGCUCAGGUCAGUGUCUUCUCUGAUCAGAAAGCACUUUGUGCAAAAUCCCUGCCCCACUACUUUUAUUUUUUUUUUUUUGCCAUCUCUCAGACCUUAACCUCAGCCCAGCUUGAGAUCGGCCUCUUCCAUAAAGCCUUCCCUGGUCUCCCCACUCUUGGCUCUCUCCACUUCCCCUGGACAAUUCGUCUGGUGCUUGUGAUUUGCACAGUUUAUCUCAGGCUGUCCUGAGCCGGGGGGAGGGGGCUCCGGAAAGCCACUUGGCCAGGGUCCAGUGGGGCAAACCACAGAGCCCUUCGUCCAUCAAGCCUGCUUCUAACUCUUGCCCCACAUGAAUGGACAUAGACCCUGCGUUGGGCUGGGAAGUGGAGGUUUCCUUAUGUAGCAGAGUCAGGAGGACGGCAUUGGGUCCCUCUCAGGACCCAGGAGUGAAAACACAAUUGCCACAGCAACCCAAGAAGUCUGGAAGUUUCUUUACCACUUGUGUUUUGCCCACAGAAUAGGAAACGAAGCUCAACUAUCUUUUCAGAUUUGAUCCCAAAGUGAAGCAAAGAAAACAAUUUUUUAAAAUAUUUAUUUUUUAGGUGUAGAUGGACACAACACAAUGCCUUUAUUUUUAAUGUGCUGCUGAGGAUCAAAACCAGGGCCCCACGCUUGCUAGGCAAGCGCUCUACUGCUGAGCCACAACCCCAGCCCCAGAAAACAAUUUUAUUAUAAUACUAAGUGCACUGGUUUAAAAAUGAAUGCACUAAAUGCAGUAUGGGGUCCUGGGUUAGGUCCAGGGAAAAAGAAAGGCUGUUGGUAGAAAAACAGGUGAAAUUCUAAUAAAAUCUGCAGAAUAGUUAAUAGUAAUGGACCAGCACUGGAGUCUUGGUGUUGACAGGUGUACUGUGAUUAUUUCAGGUGUGAACUCAGGGAAACUAGGUGUAGAACAUACAGAAGUCUGCAUCCUUACUUAACUUUUCUGUAAAUCCAACAUUAUUUCAAAAUAAAAAGUUAAUUGCUAUGGGCUGGGGCUGGGGCUCAGUGGUAGAGCGCUUGCCUGGCAUGUGUGAGGCACUGGGUUCAAUUCUCAGCACCACAUAUAAAUAAAUAAAGGCUCAUCGACAACUAAUAUAUAUGUAUAUAUACACAGAUAUAUAAAAGUUAAUUGCUAUUAAAUUUUCAAAAACCACAGAUAACAAGCAAGGCUGUUAUACACACAGUGCCUGGUGCUCAGAGGCUCAUGCUAGGAGCGUCUGUGCCCUAGGGAGGUGCUUUCCAAAUGGAUGUUCCUCCUGUGUGAUCGACAUACGCAGAGCUUUGCCAGGUCUUCCAUCCAAGUCCUAAUACAUACAAAGGAUUAUUUGGGGGAAAUACACCUUUAUCCAUUUGGUUGGAGAGAUUUAAAUGUAUAAAUGUAUAAAUGAGUGAGUUGGAAGACACUGAACCCAGUGUAGUUAUAACCACACAGUGACACCAUCUCUAUAGCAUUUUAUAAAAAGCCCUUGUUGUAUUUGUCAUGCCACUUUAGUUCACUUUCUUGACCAAUGUGUAAAGGAGUGCUUGACCUCUGGAGUUUAGCAAGAAAGCAAUCAUGGGGCUGGGGCUGGGGCUCAGUAGUGGAGCACUAGCCUCGAAAGUGUGGGGCACUGGGUUUGAUCCUCAGCACCACAUAAAAACAAAUAAAGAUAUUUUGUCUAUCUAAUAUAUAUAUAUAUAUAUAUAUAUAUAUAUAUAUAUAUAUAUAUGACAAAAUAAAGCAAUCAUGUUGCUUAACAAAGCAACUUCUGAAAUCGUGAUUAGAGAGGAUGUAAACCCUAGGAAUUUAGAGGAAUUCCCAGGGCUGCCUCUGUGGUAUCAACCUGAGAAGAUGAUUUAAUCUCUCUAAUCCCUAUUUCCUCAUUUGUAAAAUGAUUGUAAAUGUGGUACCUGCUUAAUAAGGUUGUGAGGGAAUUAAAAUAAAUGGUGCGUUAAAGCAGUUAGCACAGUACCCGGCACAUUCUAAGUGCUGGAGGUUCUAAAUACUUGGUAAAUAGCUAUUAUUACCAUGACGGUAGAAUGUGAAUGGGAACAGAAUAUCUUUUUUGCAGGAAAACACUGCCAUCUCAGGCAGAUAAAUAACUCUGGCUCUGGGGAUGAUUUUUAAUGAAGACAUUUUGAUUCUGAAAGUGUACUCAGCAGCCAGGACUGAAAUCCAAGUUACAUCUGGGACACACACACACACACACACACACACACACACACUCAACAGGAAUAAAUGGAGGUUCUCAUUCAUGUCUUAAAGAACACUGGAGAGACUUUCAGCCUCAGCAAUAUGGUGGGCUGAGCUAAAAGGAACCUCCGCAGCUUCUGGGAAAACAGCUUAAAGCUCAGAUUAAAAUAAAGUGCAAAUAAAAUUGCAAGUCAUGGUUGAACUCAUAAAGAAAGGAAAGAAAUGAAGACGGACCAGACAGCUGGUGCCAAGAGAAGGAAUGACGUGCCUGGUGACUAUGGGGCUAUGAUCGGACCAGAAACUGGCAGGGCCGGACCAUUGGUUGGAAGCUGGGUCAGAGGGGUGGGGUCCAACAGACCUCUGCUUGGACCUGCCCACACUGCUGGACCACUGAAAGGCACCAGUGGCUUUGGGUGAAAAACCAGUGAACCCCCCAAAACGGAACCCCCCAAAGCUGCAUGCCAGCAUUACAUGGAGUUUAGAACUUAAACUAAUAACAACCUCCGAAGGAAUUAACUGGAAACUUGGUCCCAAAUUGGUGAUGACCCUGGGGUGCCCCGCCUAGGCCCACACAAGCCAGCUCUGAUCCAGCCUUCCACCGCUCAGGCCACACAGAAUUCCUACAGAAAACCCAACUCCUCUAGCAGAUGAGCUCACUGUUGCAAUCAGAAACGCAUUAAUUGGGCCCAGGUUGGAUUCUAGUCGUGUUGGUUUGUUUUAAUGUGUUUAAUAGAUUUUCUAGGAUAUGGUUCAGUUCAGUUUGAAAAUGUUCUUUACCUGUGCUUUGAUUUCAAGAUAAUCGUCUCUCCACUUUCUGACCCGUGAACUCAACAUCUGGGUGUCUAAAGCCUAUUGUGACUUAUUUUGUGACUGAUAUUGGCCUGGCACGGCACCAGGGGUGCCCAUUUUUUGUCCCUCACUGAAAUGUCUGAGUUAUCAAUGGGUAAACAGAAGGUGAGGCGGGUCACUGGCCACUCAGGGACCUUGGGCACUCGGUGGCAGGGCCAGAACUCCAGCCCUGCCCUCUCCCUUCCUGAGAAUUGGGUUCUCCAUCAGACCUGACGGUGUCUCAUUCUCCAACUGAGUGAUAAAGACAGGCACGUGGAUGACCAGGGAGAGGAAUGACCAAAGCCAAGGUCCUCAAGAGUCACCUGGUCUUCCCAGCACCCUCCCUGGAGGCCCACUGGAUGCACUGCCCAGCGUGUACCUGAGCCACCAGCCAUUGACAGUAACUUCAGCCACACUUGGCUCCAGGCCCCGGGAGGCCUAGGAUGCCAGGAGCUGCCUGGGCAGCACCGGAGCCAGGUUGGGGGCUGGUUAAGACCUUUGCCGUGUCCUCUGCCUCCAGGGAAGGAGUCGUGCUGGGUCCUGUGGGGCCCCCAUUGCCCCUGACUUUGCAAGGCCCAUUUGAAGCCUGUUUGCUGUCCAGAAGAAGGAGCUGGCUUCCUGAGAAGGCAAGCAGGUUUAUUUGUGUGGCCGGCAGCGAGGGCACCUGCUGGCCUCAGCCUGGAACUAUCUUCCCUCCACCCACCUCCCAGAGGCCGACCCCGACCAGCCCACCUGAAACUGCACCCGGCAUCACCUCCCACUGUCACCCUGCCUGGUGUCUCCCUAGCACCCCCCCCCCCCCCCGGCCUUCUGUGUGUUUAGUUGUCUGUGGCUUGAUUUCACCUACAGAAGGUCAGCCUCCUGAGGGCAGGAACCACCUGUUCUGCUCAGGGCUGGAUCCCUAGAGUGAAUGGAUGAAUGGCCCAUUUCAUCACGGCCAGAUAGACAGAAACCGACCCCCAGCCUCUGUGCACCUUAAAGGGAUUAGGGCUCAGAAAGUGGUGCUUUGGGUUUACUGUUCCCCUCAAAAUUCAUGUGUCAGAACCUUAUUUCCUCAAUGCAGCAGGGUUGGGAGGUGGAGCCUAGUGGGAGAUGUGUGCGUCACGGGGGUGGAGCCCUUAUGAAUGGAUUAAUGUCUUUAUUGAGGGAAUGGGUUAGCUAUCUAUCUGCAGAGUUCAGUCUCUUUUUCUCUCACACACUCCACUUCCCACCAUAAGUUGAAGCAAUACAAGGCCCUUACCAGAAGCCAAGCAAAUGUUGGUGCCAUGCUGUUAGACUUCUAGAACCAUGAGCCCAAAUAAACCUCUCUUCUUUAUAAAUUACUCAGUCUCAAGUGUUCUCACACAGUGUCUAAAACCUGACUGAAACAAAUGGUUUUCAAACUUUAAAAAAAAAAAAAAAGCUAAAAGAUUUUCUUUAAAUUAAUUUAGAAAGAGACUCCAUGUAUGAGAUAGACAAUAGCAGGUCUAUAUUAAGUUGAAGCCAGGGCUUCAGGUGUGUCCUCCUCCUGAUUUUCUUCCCCAUGCACAGAACUCUGGUACUUCUUGGAAUAACAGUUUGAAAACUAUUGACCUAAGUGAGGUCCAUUUCCAUCUAGUCACUUCCUCUACCAGAAUCUAAAUACAAUCACCUGAAAAACGAGGGAAUCAGAUCCAUGGGCCUUCCUUCUUCAACAUCCUAGGGUUAUAUGUCACAUCUAUAACUGAAGAAUAUUCUCCAAGAGCCAGGCAAACCCCAAAAUAGGAAUCAGAGCGAUGCAUUCACUGUCACCGCCAACAGACAGCAAUCAAGCAGGUCUUGUUCUACGGGCAGCACGUGGGAGCCAUGGGGCCCAGCAGAUGUGACUGACCAACCCUUCAUCUAGUUGAUGAAACGAGACAGAACAUUUGAAGCAAUCAGAACAGGACAGCAGCCAGUGCUGGGGAUACGUGGACGGAUUCUGUGGGCAAACUGGACAUCACAGCAACGAGAGAAGGAGCCGGGUGAGGUGGGUGAUGUCAGCCCCCGCUGGCCCACAGACUGACUUGAUCCUGUGGUCGUGAGUCACAGUCUUGGCCCCAGGAAGGGGACAGAGUGUCUCCAUCAUUUUAGAUGACCAGUUAUGGUUUGUGACAGAGACUGCUAGCUGUCCCCAAUGUUCAUUCUCCCCGCCUUUCAAUGAACCCCCAAUGGCUGGCUGGACUCGUGGCUUUCCAAAGCGACAUCUGCAUUCCCAGCCUCCUGUGCAGUCAGGUAGGGCCUGUGACUAAGCUUUGGUCCCUGGGAUGUGGGCCGCCAGGAUGCGCAUCAUCUCUGAGUCCUGCCCAGGGAGGGAAGGGGUGUGCCCUGUGUGCCCUCCCUUUCCCCUUUCUGACUGCUGGAAUGAGGACAUGGCCCUCUGGGACCCCAGGAAGAGGCCACACCUGUGAGCAAGGUGAUGGGAGGGGACUGGGUCCUGACACUGCACAGCGGCCACACCAGCUGUGGGGGGCUGAGGACAAAGUCUCCAGGGCCAAGAGCCCCCCUCUGUCUUGGUGAAGCCUCUGUGGACCCAACUAAGGCAGUUGACCAUCAGCCCCUCAGGUUUGAUGCCGAGAGCUUCUGCAGCCCAAACCUGGGGGCACCACUGCCUCCCAGAUGGAGGCUGUGGGAGGGGAGGCUAAGUUGAGGAUGGUGGAGGCCGAGGGGUUCCUGGAACCAGAGGGGGAAGAAGGGGUGCAGGGAGCGUGGCUUCUGGGGCCAGGCCACCAUAGGUUGGAACCCUAACACCCUCAUUGCUAAACUCCCCCAAGAAGCCCUCGUGAGAGUGAUGUGCGUGGCCAGUCGGGCACAAGAUCCAACUGCAGGAAAAUUCUGUAGCUUUUGUUCUCAGAAUCCAGAGAGCUGUCCUGAGGUCUGCGCCCUUCUGGUCUUUGGGGCAAAGACCGGCCACCCUACAGCAGAUGGAUUAAGGGCCUGAUGGCAAUUGGGAGGGCCUGAGAGGAGGGGACACGGGAGGGGGGCCUUGAGGAUAGAGAGAAGGAGCCAAGACAGAGGAGUGAGGGGAUGAGACCUCUAGAAGAGGGGACAGCGUGCACAAAGACAUGGGGACACAUCUUGCCCUUCUUCUGGACCUAGAGAAGGUUCAGAGGAGAAAUGGCUGGGUUGUGAGAGUCUCAAUCCGGUCAGUGGAUUCAACCCCCCACGGGAUUAACUGGGCGGUGACUGAGGGCUGGUCAGGUGUGGCAGCAGAGGUGGGUCCCUGGGGUCGCGCCUCCGGCAUAUGUAUUUUGUAUCUGGUGAGGGGAGUCUCUCCCUGCUGCCUGGCCACUUCCCUCCCCCACACUCUUCCGCCAUGAUGUUCUGCCUCACCUGAGCCCUGAGGAAUGGAGCCGGCUGCCUAUGGACUGAGACCUCUGAAGCUGUGAGCCCCAAAUAAACUUUUC